CGACCCUAGGUCAGGCGGGGCUACCUGCUGAGUUUAAGCAUAUCAGUAAGCGGAGGAGAAGAAACUUAAGAGGAUUCCCCUAGUAACGGCGAGCGAACUGGGAAGAGCCCAGCUUGAGAAUCGGACGGCCUCGUUGUCUGAAUUAUAGUAUGUAGAAGCAUCCACAGUGGCGGACCUGGCCCAAGUCCCCUGGAAGGGGGCACCGGAAGGCAUGAGAACCCUGUCAUGCCUGGACCCUGUUGUACCACAAGGCGCUAUCGACGAGUUGGGUUGUUUGGGAAUGCAGCCCCAAUCGGGCAGUAAAUUCCAUCCAAGGCUAAAUAUGGGCGAGAGACCGAUAGCGAUCAAGUACCGCGAGGGAAAGAUGAAAAGGACUUUGAAAAGAAAGAGUGCUUGAAAUUGUUAGGAGGGAUGCGAAUGGGGGCUGCUGGUUUACUGCUCGACUCGAGGUGCGGACUGAUGCGGAUUGUGGUGGCGCCCCAAGCCUGGGUUAUCGCACUAUGCCCACGGAGACGUCGUCGCCACGAUCGUGGUAGGCAGCAUGCACCUUCAUGGCAUGCCACUUGGCAACUGCAUGCUCUGGGCAUCGGCCUGUCUGGCUCCCCAUUCGACCAGUCUUGAAACACGGACCAAGGAGUUUGACAUGUGUGCGAGUCAACGGGCGAGUAUACCCGUAAGGUGCAAGGAAGCUGAUUGGUGGGAUCCCCCUGUGGGUUGCACCGCCGACCGACCUUGAUCUUCUGAGAAGGGUUUGAGUGAGAGCAUACCUAUCGGGACCCGAAAGAUGGUAGACUAUGCCUGAGCGGGGUGAAGCCAGAGGAAACUCUGGUGGAGGCCCGCAGCGAUACUGACGUGCAAAUUAUUCGUCUAACUUGGGUAUAGGGGCGAAAGACGAAUUGAACCAUCUAGUAGCUGGUUCCCUCCGAAGUUUCCCUUAGGAUAGCUGGAGCCUGAGGGCGAGUUCUAUCAGGUAAAUCCAAUGAUUAGAGGCAUCGGGGGCGCAAUGCCCUCGACCUAUUCUCAAACUUUAAAUAGGUAGGACCGUGCGGCUUCUUCAUUGAGCUGUGCCACGGAAUCGAGAGCUCCAAGUGGGCCAUUUUUGGCAAGCAAAACUGGAGAUACAGGAUAAAUCAAAAGCUGGGUUACAGUGUCAGAUUAUGCGCUAACCUAGAACCCACAAAGGGUGUUGGUCGAUUAAGACAGCAGAAUGGUGGUUAUGGAAGUCGAAAUCCGCUAAGGGGUGUGUAACAACUCACCUGCCGAAUCAACUAGCCCCAAAAAUGGUUGGCGCUGAAGUGCGUAACCUAUACCCGGCCGUCGGGGUAACUGCCAGGCCCCGAUGAGUAGGAGGGCACAGCAAUCACUGUUAAACAUAGGGCGCGAACCUUGGCGGGGUGGCCGUUGGUGUAGAUCAUGGUGGUAGUAGCAAAUACUCAAAUGAGAACUUUGAAAGCCGAAGAGGGGAAAGGUUCCAUGUGAACGGCACUUGCACAUCGGUUAGUCAAUCCUAAGGGACGGGGGAAGCCCAUCAGAGAGCGUGUAUGCACGCAUGCUCCGAAAGGGAAUCGGGUUAAAAUUCUGGAAUUGGGAUGUGGUGACUGACGGCAAUGUUAGGAAGGUCAGAGAUGUCAGCGGGGGCCUCAAGAAGAGUUAUCUUUUCUUUUUAACAGCCUGCUCACCCUGGAAACCGCUCAGCCAGAGGUAUGGUCCAACGACUGGAAGAGCACCGCACGUGGCGUGGUGUCUGAUGUGCCCCCGACGGCCCUUAAAAAUUCGAAGGACCGAGUACCGACCACGCUCGAUUGUACUCAUAACCGCAUCAGGUCUCCAAAGUGAACAGCCUUUAUUAGAUGGAACAAUGUAGGCAAGGGAAGUCGGCAAAAUGGAUCCGUAACCUCGGGAAAAGGAUUGGCUAUGAGGGCUGGGCAUGGGGGUCCCAGUCCUGAACCCGUCUACUAUCGAUGGACUGCUUGAGCUGCUUCCGUGGUGAGAGCUGGUCGUCGUGUGCCAGUCAGGGGAUGAAUUGGGAACGGCCCCCUCGUGGGCCUUCCCUGGGCAUCGAACAGUCGACUCAGAACUGGUAUGGACAAGGGGAAUCUGACUUUUUAAUUAAAACAACGCAUUGUGUUGGUCCCUGCGAAUGCUCACGCAAUGUGAUUUAUGCCCAGUGCUCUGAAUGUCAAAGUGAAGAAAUUCAACCAAGCGCGGGUAAAUGGCGGGGGUAACUAUGACUCUCUUAAGGUAGCCAAAUGCCUCGUCAUCUAAUUAGUGAUGUGCAUGAAUGGAUUAACGAGAUUUUGACUGUCAUUGUCUACUAUCCAGCAAAACCACAGCCAAGGGAACGAGCUUGGCAGAAUCAGCGGGGAAAGAAGACCCUAUUGAGCUUGACUCUAGUCCGACUUUGUGAAAUGACUUGAGAGGUGUAGGAUAAGUGGGACCCUUCAGGCAAUAGUGAAAUACCAAUACUUUUAACGUUAUUUUACUUCGUGAGUCGGAGGCGGGGCUACUGCCCUCCUUUUGGACCUCAGGCCUGCCUCGGCAGGUCAAUUUGGGCAGAGGACAUUGUCAAGUGGGGAGUUUGGCUGGGGCGGCACAUCUGUUAAAAGAUAAUGCAGGUGUCCUAAGAUGAGCUCAACGAGAAUAGAAACCUCGUGUGGAACAAAAAGGUAAAAGCUCCUUUGAUUCUGAUUUUCAGUACAAAUACGAACCGUGAAAGCAUUGCCUAUCGAUCCUUUAGACCUUUGGAAUUUGAAGCUAGAGUGUCAAAAAAGCUACCACAGGGAUAACUGGCUUAUGGCAGCCAAGCAUUCAUAGCGACGUUGCAUUUUGAUCCUUCGAUGUCAGCUCUUCCUAUCAUUGCGAAGCAGAAUUUGCCAAGUGUUGGAUUGUUCACCCCCCAAUAGGGAACGUGAGCUGGGUUUAGACCAUUGUGAGACAGGUUAGUUUUACCCUACUGAUGAUAGUGUCGCGAUGGUAAUUCAACCUAGUACGAGAGGACCGUUGAUUCACACACUUGGUCAUCAUGCUUGGUUGAAAAGCCAAUGGCGUAAAGUUAUCGUGUGUUAGAUUAUGAUUGAAUGCCUCUAAGUCAGAAUCUAGGCUAAAGAAAUGGCGCAUACGCCCAUCGCCCAUUUACCGACACACAAUAGGGGCCUCCCAACUCUUAGAGACACAUGUCAUCAACCAAGCCCCCACGAUGGACGUGUUGCGUGGGGCCGACUUAAAGCUUAAUUCUUAUCGGGCGAUGGGUAGAAUCCUUUGCUGACUACUUAAAUUCACGACGGGGUAUUGUAAGUGGCAGAGUGGCCUUACUGCCACGAUCCACUAGGAUUCAUCCCCGUGUCACAUCGAUUCGU